UACGAGGGGGGCAAGCGUUGUUCGGAAUUAUUGGGCGUAAAGGGCGCGUAGGCGGUGCGGUAAGUCACCUGUGAAAACUCUGGGCUCAACUCAGAGCCUGCAGGCGAAACUGCCGUGCUUGAGUGUGGGAGAGGUGCGUGGAAUUCCCGGUGUAGCGGUGAAAUGCGUAGAUAUCAGGAGGAACACCUGUGGCGAAAGCGGCGCACUGGACCACAACUGACGCUGAGGCGCGAAAGCUAGGGGAGCAAACAGG
rnacentral:rRNA from 1 species